GACAGAGUUGAAAUGGGCGCGUCUACAUGUGGUGUUUUUGAGAUGAUCGGCGAAAGAAAAAUUCAAGCAAGGACAUGAACGGACUUAAUGCGAGUGGAGUGUGAGGGGCCUCGACCGGAGCAGAGGAAUGAGGAAGCUAACUGGGCGGAAUGGGGAUGCCGAUGGACACACUCUGCAUCUGGGACCGCCACCCAAGCAGUCGGCGAGGGCGAAUGUCACAGCGUGCGAUGCGCCCACGCUUGACUGUGCCGCACUCGGCAGCACCACCUGGCCCUCCUUGCUCAGCCACCGAGUGCGUGGGCAGCAGCGCCGCACCGGAGCCUUUCCCCGGGGUCGAGGCGAGCGUCCCGGUGCUCCGGAUUGUCCACAUGCACGCACGUACACCAACACCUCCUGCACGGCCUGCUCUUUUUCACACAAGGGACCGACAGAGGCUUAGUUUACUUAGGGAACUGCACCUUGCAACAAAACAAAAAGAAAGAAAAAAAGAAAAGACACAAAACUGAAACAUGUGUGUUUUGCCACGCAUUGUUUUGACAUUUUGUUUAGCUGUAAGACAACAAGGCACGCUGAAUAAACGAUGCCAGAAACUAA